UAUAAAAUUUGGGAGACAGAUGGAUACUGUUGGCGACUAUGAGUACCAGGUUGGGUUGAUUGAAUGCUUAUUCAGAAUUGUUCCUAAGAAAUUUCGUCCAAAGUUUGCCACACAUUUGUUUAAUAAUGCACUGUUAUUGAAACAAUUCCUUGAUAUAAGGGACCAAGACUUUGAAACUGAUUGCAGAACUUUUCUGAAUGUUUACAACAAUGAUGCAAGUCGAAAACAAAG